UUGAACGCUGGCGGCAGGCCUAACACAUGCAAGUCGAGUGGUAGCACAGAGAGCUUGCUCUCGGGUGACGAGCGGCGGACGGGUGAGUAAUGUCUGGGAAACUGCCUGAUGGAGGGGGAUAACUACUGGAAACGGUAGCUAAUACCGCAUAACGUCGCAAGACCAAAGUGGGGGACCUUCGGGCCUCAUGCCAUCAGAUGUGCCCAGAUGGGAUUAGCUAGUAGGUGGGGUAACGGCUCACCUAGGCGACGAUCCCUAGCUGGUCUGAGAGGAUGACCAGCCACACUGGAACUGAGACACGGUCCAGACUCCUACGGGAGGCAGCAGUGGGGAAUAUUGCACAAUGGGCGCAAGCCUGAUGUAGCCAUGCCGCGUGUGUGAAGAAGGCCUUCGGGUUGUAAAGCACUUUCAGCGGGGAGGAAGGCGGUGAGGUUAAUAACCUCAUCGAUUGACGUUACCCGCAGAAGAAGCACCGGCUAACUCCGUGCCAGCAGCCGCGGUAAUACGGAGGGUGCAAGCGUUAAUCGGAAUUACUGGGCGUAAAGCGCACGCAGGCGGUCUGUCAAGUCGGAUGUGAAAUCCCCGGGCUCAACCUGGGAACUGCAUUCGAAACUGGCAGGCUAGAGUCUUGUAGAGGGGGGUAGAAUUCCAGGUGUAGCGGUGAAAUGCGUAGAGAUCUGGAGGAAUACCGGUGGCGAAGGCGGCCCCCUGGACAAAGACUGACGCUCAGGUGCGAAAGCGUGGGGAGCAAACAGGAUUAGAUACCCUGGUAGUCCACGCCGUAAACGAUGUCGAUUUGGAGGUUGUGCCCUUGAGGCGUGGCUUCCGGAGCUAACGCGUUAAAUCGACCGCCUGGGGAGUACGGCCGCAAGGUUAAAACUCAAAUGAAUUGACGGGGGCCCGCACAAGCGGUGGAGCAUGUGGUUUAAUUCGAUGCAACGCGAAGAACCUUACCUGGUCUUGACAUCCACAGAACUUUCCAGAGAUGGAUUGGUGCCUUCGGGAACUGUGAGACAGGUGCUGCAUGGCUGUCGUCAGCUCGUGUUGUGAAAUGUUGGGUUAAGUCCCGCAACGAGCGCAACCCUUAUCCUUUGUUGCCAGCGGUUAGGCCGGGAACUCAAAGGAGACUGCCAGUGAUAAACUGGAGGAAGGUGGGGAUGACGUCAAGUCAUCAUGGCCCUUACGACCAGGGCUACACACGUGCUACAAUGGCAUAUACAAAGAGAAGCGACCUCGCGAGAGCAAGCGGACCUCAUAAAGUAUGUCGUAGUCCGGAUUGGAGUCUGCAACUCGACUCCAUGAAGUCGGAAUCGCUAGUAAUCGUAGAUCAGAAUGCUACGGUGAAUACGUUCCCGGGCCUUGUACACACCGCCCGUCACACCAUGGGAGUGGGUUGCAAAAGAAGUAGGUAGCUUAACCUUCGGGAGGGCGCUUACCACUUUGUGAUUCAUGACUGGGGUG
rnacentral:rRNA from 1 species